rnacentral:rRNA from 1 species
CCUACGGGAGGCAGCAGUGAGGAAUAUUGGGCAAUGGAGGCAACUCUGACCCAGCAACGCCGCGUGAAUGAUGAAGGUCUUCGGAUUGUAAAGUUCUGUGAUGGGGGAUGAACACAAUGACGGUACCCCAAUAGCAAGCCACGGCUAACUACGUGCCAGCAGCCGCGGUAAUACGUAGGUGGCAAGCGUUAUCCGGAAUGACUGGGCGUAAAGGGGGCGUAGGUGGUUUAGUAAGUUGGCGGUGUAAUUCCGGGGCUCAACCUCGGCGCUACCGCCAAAACUAUUAGACUAGAGUGCAGGAGGGGUAAGUGGAAUUCCUAGUGUAGCGGUGGAAUGCGUAGAUAUUAGGAGGAACAUCAGGGGCGAAGGCGACUUACUGGACUGUAACUGACACUGAGGCACGAAAGCGUGGGGAGCAAACAGGAUUAGAUACCCCAGUAGUC